rnacentral:misc_RNA from 1 species
GGAUAAACAGAGAAGAGGAAAAGGAGUGAAGCAUUAAUGAGAAAUAUGAAUGGGAUGGUCACCAAAAUGCUUUUUUUAUUAUUUAAUUUCUUCACAGAGUCCUCUAUGGUGCACUCAAUGAAAUGUGCAACACUAUAUAAAAUGCUGAAAAACAUAUUUUAUAACUUCAAAUAGCAACCCCAAAAAUAAAUACAUAAAUGAAAUAGUUGAGAAAAAAAUUCAUGCAAACGUGCAUGAGAGAUCAAGAUGUAAAUGAUGCUUAAUCCAAUCUUUCUCCAAAACUCCUCAAAGGUCAAUCUCUUGUUAUCUGUGUACUCAUUAAAUGUCUCCAUAUGCCCGUACACAUAAUCAAGGGAUCACAAGGGUAUGAAUAUGUCCAAUAUAAGUUGAUUAUAAACCCUUCACAUAUGCCAAUCUACUACUCCCCCAAUACAUCAUCCAAAUAAGACAAAUUCACCAUGUAAAUUGCAAAUAAUUCCCCAUCAAUAGUUCUGCCAUCAUAACAAAACAUCAUUAAUGUCAAAGAAGAUAACUAUAAGUUUUCUGAAACUGGUUAAAACAGUAAUGCUUUUAUCUGUGCCAAACACAUAUUCAGGAAACAAACAGCUACUAAAAGAAAAGGUCAAUGAUGCACAUUUGUGAUAAAGCUAGAGACUGAAGAAACUAUUCCAACCAAAUAACAAGAUGAAAAAAAGCCAAGCGCUCACUAAUUCAAUAAUUCAGUACU